ensembl:snRNA RNU7-29P RNA, U7 small nuclear 29 pseudogene
CAGUGUUACACCUCUUUUAGAAUUUAUCUAUCAGGUUUUCCAGUGUUCACUGAAAUUUGUCUCU